AGAGUCACUGAGGACAAUAGGUGAAGGUGUUUGUACAGUAUCCAUUUGUUUGGCGAUUAAUUGCUAAGUUGAGUUUUGGGAUGGGCAACCAAUUCACUUUUCUAGGGCAUUCUCUGCAGCGUCUUUUUUUUUUUUUUGAGUGUGAGGAGGGAGUGGAAGGUGAUCGGUAGUACAUUGUAGUCGGUGGCUAAAUCUUGUAAAGGGUUUCCUAAUAUGGGCCGUCUUACAGCAGUGCCCUCCCCCCUGGGCCAUCCCCUCCACCUCUCAGCCAGUGAUGACACAGCUCGGGUACGACUCACUUCCUCAUUAAUUGGCUGAAACCAGUUCUUACAGGAACCGCCUGUGAUAAAUGUGAGAGUUCUGAGAAGUCAUUCAUUUCUCCGCGCUGCAGCGGCAGAGGAGGCACUGCAGGGGAGUUGAACGGGUUCACCGCUGUGAGAGAGAGAGAGCGAGAGAGAGAGAGAGAGAGAGGGAGCGAGCGUGUGUGUACGCAGACUGAGAGGAGCAGAGCGCGCUUAAUACUGCGGCCGCCACAGACGCUCCAGUCGCGCACCGCACAUUUCUGCUUCUCCUCUCUCUCUUCGUCUUUGUCUGUUGUCUUUUUAGUGAAAACGGGUCUUAUUAGCUGAAGCUGGGGCACAGGCUGUACUUUUUCUCUUUCCUGUUUGUGUGUGUGUGGGGAUGCACCCGUUGAUCCCUCCGUCUUUCUCUCUUCUCUCAGAGGAAGCGAGAGGCCGACACUGUACAGGAGAUAGGACAGCAUGCCUCUCUUUGUUGCUGCCCUUGGGCUGGUGAGUAACAAUGAUGUGACGUGAUUUGCACCCCCCACCCCCAUUCUUCCCUUCCCUCCCCCUUUCCCUCCUUUUCCUCUCUCCCUCUCUCCUCUUGUGUUGUUGGACAUAGGCUUCACUGCUGGGUGCGGCACUGCAGAAGCCCUUCAGAGACACAUGGAGGCCCAGAAGGCCGAGCGGCUCUUGGCGUCCGAGAGGGGUCCCAACUGGACACUGUAGCUUCAGACAUGGAGCUUCUAGGAGGUUCUUCACGAUGUGCUCCUUUGUGCUGCAUUGUCAACUCAUCGCUGGGCUCAACCAGCAGAGGAAAUGUGGGUGGCCGAGCCGUCCCAAAGCUUCUGAGGACUCCUUCACUAAUUUCUACUCUCCUUUCAGCUGAUAACCCUCCAUUAUCUGCCUCCGUCUGGUUUCCUUCUUGUUGUACAAACUUGUUUAUGUUGAACUUGGACUUGCAGUUACUUGCUAGUGAAGUCUUUAGUAAUGAUUUCUGCUAAGGUAGGUGGUAGUCUAAAUGUUGGGAUAUUUCAGUUAUACCAUCAGAUUAUAUUAUUUAAGCAUGUGUGGGAUCUGAGUGGAAUAAAUAUUAGUUAAGUUAAGCAUGGAGUUUGAAGGACCUAACAACCCACGGCAUCUUAAUUUGACCUUUUUAAUUUGUACAGUUUCGUUUUAAAGGAAUAUGCCUCUUGCUGCAUUGCCUUGUGGGUAUAGUAAUUUCAUUUUCAAAAGUACAUAGUUGCAACUUGUAGAUCAGUAGGUCAGUAGUGGCAAAGAUAUGAAUCCUGUUCCAGUGUAGCACGUACUCCAUUGUAUUAACCGUUGAGAAUAGUUUUACUUUUGGCAGAGAGAAUAUAAACUGUCAGUCAAUCUUGCUGCUGGUCCCUUUGUCUGCUCGUAUUGUUCUGCUUACAGGAAGAGCCAUGAGUCAGCCUGGGGGUCUUUGCCAGAUGCAGUCCUAUACUACAGUACUGUAUAGAGUGAGUGGUAUUUUUGGGUGUUGGUCUAGUUUAAUGAGCUGAUUUCCAUUUUUUUCUGAAUUCUGUUAGAAUAGGUUAUGCUAAUAGUCUGUCUCAAAGUCUCGCCUCUUGUCAGUUACUCCUCUGUUUCAGUUACAGAGUCAGGCUUGCUGCUUUUCUUUGUCUCCAUAGCCAGGGAGCUGUGUGCCUUUUAGAUCUUACAUCAUCUCCCAAGCACCACCUAACGCCUUAUUUGUAAUCCAUCUUUGUCUUUCCUUUCCAAUUGGAGCACAAAUCUAUCUCUUUUUCCCCCAAAAUCGGCACCGAAACGUAGUAUUUUUGGUGUUCGUUCCUUGGCACUGCUGUGCUACGCUGGACUGAGCAGAGCAGGCACGGGCGGGAGGGAAAAAAAGCUCAGAGUGAAAAGCGUCUGUGGCGUUACCUCAACUGAACCUUCCAAUGAACUCGUUGCACUGCCCCAGUCACGGAGCCAGGAGACGAAUCACUCGAGUAGAUUCAAAACAGAGGGGUACUGUUAAGCAUGCUGAACCCUCUGCUCCUGCUCUGCUCACAGCAUUCUCCUUUCCUCUGCCACGGUAAGUACGAUUAGGAUUUCUUCUCCUUUAUUGUUAGUGUACUUGUGUGCCUCGGACAUGUCGGGCACUCGUCUUGUCAGAUAGCUUAUCAGACUGGUGUUGGCUGUUAAGAUUACAAGGCGACAACAGUCUGUAGGCUGUCUGACGUUUCGGGCUUAUUCAUCGGAUCCUGUUUAGUCCCCUUCUUGUAUUGUCUUUGUCUCAGUGAGCAUCAGUUCCCGUACGGAGGUGUGUGCUGGUUUGGGAACACUGAAGUCAUUCUUUUGUUUAUUUCCUCCAUGAUGACGUUUGUUGAGGUUUUUUAUGGGGAACUGUUUCACACUUGUUGGUGCUAAUACUUUCAUGUUACAUCUGCAUCACCGUGCGUGCAUUUUAGUUGGCUUUAGCUCUUGAAUUUCCAGAGAUUCCAGACAGAACACACCUCAUUGCAACACAUUGUAUUGUGACACCCAGUCCUAGGUAUGGUACACGCAGUGCUCUGCUCCCUUCCCUUUUACACUUCCCUCUUUUCUAUAACAAAGAACUUCCCUUAGUUACUCAAUAACACUUUUUGUUGGACUGUGCAUUUUAUUACAAUAACUUGAGUAAGGGUUUUUCUGUAAAUUUGUACUUAAAAAAUAGUGUCUGUUCACUGGGUACUUCUACUUUUUAAAAAUAUCUUCUGGAUUUUAAACAUUUUGGUCUUAAAAGGAAAAAAUGUAUAAUUCAAAAAGAUACUAUUCUACAAAACAAUGUAAUUUUUUUUCUUUUUGAAUUUCUUCUAGAGGUCUUAAAAGCAAAAAUUAGAUCAUUGGAAAAGACAGGAAUGGGUUUCUGGCUGAGGGACUGUGUUUUUCUUGGCUGUUUCAGAAUGUCCUGUUCCAUGAGGGAGCCCCCUUUUGGCAUGUGCUUCACUACGUGUUUGUAAGCUUCUAGAAAUUCUCUCUGUACUCAAGAAUGUAUUUAAUGUUUACGUCAUGUUCGUACCUGGGUUAUUUCAGAAUUGCACUGUUUUUGUCACCUGUCUUCUCUCUAAAUAAAGUCCAUUCAAAAGAG